UCUUGGUCAUUUAGAGGAAGUAAAAGUCGUAACAAGGUUUCCGUAGGUGAACCUGCGGAAGGAUCAUUAAAGAAAUUUAAUAAUUUUGAAAAUGGAUUUUUUUGUUUUGGCAAGAGCAUGAGAGCUUUUACUGGGCAAGAAGACAAGAGAUGGAGAGUCCAGCCGGGCCUGCGCUUAAGUGCGCGGUCUUGCUGGGCUUGUAAGUUUCUUUCUUGCUAUUCCAAACGGUGAGAGAUUACUGUGCUUUUGUUAUAGGACAAUUAAAACCGUUUCAAUACAACACACUGUGGAGUUUUCAUAUCUUUGCAACUUUUUCUUUGGGCAUUCGAGCAAUCGGGGCCCAGAGGUAACGAACACAAACAAUUUUAUCUAUUCAUUAAAUUUUUGUCAAAAACAAGAAUUUUCGUAACUGGAAAUUUUAAAAUAUUAAAAACUUUCAACAACGGAUCUCUUGGUUCUCGCAUCGAUGAAGAACGCAGCGAAAUGCGAUACGUAAUGUGAAUUGCAGAAUUCCGUGAAUCAUCGAAUCUUUGAACGCACAUUGCGCCCCUUGGUAUUCCAGGGGGCAUGCCUGUUUGAGCGUCAUUUCCUUCUCAAACACUCUGUUUGGUAGUGAGUGAUACUCUUUGGAGUUAACUUGAAAUUGCUGGCCUUUUCAUUGGAUGUUUUUUUCCAAAGAGAGGUUUCUCUGCGUGCUUGAGGUAUAAUGCAAGUACGGUCGUUUUAGGUUUUACCAACUGCGGCUAAUCUUUUUUUAUACUGAGCGUAUUGGAACGUUAUCGAUAAGAAGAGAGCGUCUAGGCGAACAAUGUUCUUAAAGUUUGACCUCAAAUCAGGUAGGAGUACCCGCUGAACUUAAGCAUAUCAAUAAGCGGAG
rnacentral:rRNA from 1 species